rnacentral:rRNA from 1 species
AGCGAACGCUGGCGGCAGGCUUACCACAUGCAAGUCGAACGCCCCGCAAGGGGAGUGGCAGACGGGUGAGUAACACGUGGGAACGUACCCUUUGGUUCGGAAUAACUUGGGGAAACUCAAGCUAAUACCGGAUAAGCCCUUAUGGGGAAAGGUUUACUGCCGAAGGAUCGGCCCGCGUCUGAUUAGCUAGUUGGUGGGGUAAUGGCUCACCAAGGCGACGACCAGUAGCUGGUCUGAGAGGAUGAUCAGCCACACUGGGACUGAGACACGGCCCAGACUCCUACGGGAGGCAGCAGUGGGGAAUAUUGGACAAUGGGGGCAACCCUGAUCCAGCCAUGCCGCGUGAGUGAUGAAGGCCUUAGGGUUGUAAAGCUCUUUUACCCGGGACGAUAAUGACUGUACCGGGAGAAUAAGCCCCGGCUAACUUCGUGCCAGCCGCCGCGGUAA